rnacentral:rRNA from 1 species
GAUGAACGCUGGCGGCGUGCUUAACACAUGCAAGUCGAACGGAGAUCAUUUUAAUGAGGCUUCGGCGGAUUUGAUCUGAUCUUAGUGGCGGACGGGUGAGUAGCGCGUGGGUAACCCGUCUUAUACAGGGGGAUAACAGCCGGAAACGGCUGCUAAUACCGCAUAAGCGCACAGAGGCGCAUGCCUCAGUGUGAAAACUCCGGUGGUAUAAGAUGGACCCGCGUUGGAUUAGCUGGUUGGCAGGGCGGCGGCCUACCAAGGCGACGAUCCAUAGCCGGCCUGGAGAGGGUGGACGGCCACGAUUGGGACUGAGACGA